rnacentral:rRNA from 1 species
CCUACGGGCGGCAGCAGUGGGGAAUAUUGGACAAUGGGGGGAACCCUGAUCCAGCGACGCCGCGUGAGUGAAGAAGGAUUUCGGUAUGUAAAGCUCUAUCAGCAGGGAAGAAAGAAAUGACGGUACCUGACUAAGAAGCCCCGGCUAACUACGUGCCAGCAGCCGCGGUAAUACGUAGGGGGCAAGCGUUAUCCGGAGUUACUGGGUGUAAAGGGAGCGUAGACGGUUACGCAAGUCAGGAGUGAAAGGCGGGGGCCCAACCCCCGGACUGCUUGGGAUACUGUAUAACUGGAGUACAGGAGAGGUAAGCAGAAUUCCUAGUGUAGCGGUGAAAUGCGUAGAUAUUAGGAGGAACACCAGUGGCGAAGGCGGCUUACUGGACUGUAACUGACGUUGAGGCUCGAAAGCGUGGGGAGCAAACAGGAUUAGAUACCCCUGUAGUC